rnacentral:rRNA from 1 species
UUUACUUCGGUAAAUGGACAGCGGCGAAAGGGACAGUAAUGUGUAGGUACCUACCCCCCGAUCUGGGAUAGCUGCGGGAAACUGCAGGUAAUACCGGAUAAUGUCUUCGGACCAAAGGUGUGAUUCCGUCAGGGGAGGGGCCUGCAUCCUAUUAGCUUGUUGGUGAGGUAAUGGCUCACCAAGGCAACGAUGGGUAGCGGGUGUGAGAGCAUGACCCGCGUCAUUGGGACUGAGACACUGCCCAGACAUCUACGGAUGGCUGCAGUCGAGAAUCUUCGGCAAUGGGCGAAAGCCUGACCGAGCGACGCCGCGUGCGGGAUGAAGGCCCUCGGGUUGUAAACCGCUGUCGUUGGGGAGGAAAUGCAAAAGGGUUAUCCCUUCUGUUUGACCGAUCCAAGGAGGAAGUACGGGCUAAGUUCGUGCCAGCAGCCGCGGUAAGACGAACCGUACGAACGUUAUUCGGAAUUACUGGGCUUAAAGGGUGCGUAGGCUGCACG